rnacentral:misc_RNA from 1 species
GAUGAAGGAACGUAGCGAAAUGCGAUAAGUAAUGUGAAUUGCAGAAUUCAGUGAAUCAUCGAAUCUUUGAACGCACAUUGCGCCCGCCAGUAUUCUGGCGGGCAUGCCUGUCUGAGCGUCAUUUCAACCCUCAUGCCCCUAGGGCGUGGUGUUGGGGAUCGGCCAAAGCCCGCGAGGGACGGCCGGCCCCUAAAUCUAGUGGCGGACCCGUCGUGGCCUCCUCUGCGAAGUAGUGAUAUUCCGCAUCGGAGAGCGAUGAGCCCCUGCCGUUAAACCCCCAACUUUCCAAGGUUGACCUCAGAUCAGGUAGGAAUACCCGCUGAACUUAAGCAUAUCAAUAAGCGGAGGA